UCAAGGCUAUUCAAGCCUCAGUGGUGCUAUCAGGGACUCUGGUUCUUUCUCACAUUUCUGCUCUGCCCCCCUUAACAUCUCAACUUUCUUCCUUGUGAUUUCACUUCAAGGUCACAAGACAGCUGCUGCACCUCUGGGCAUUAUAUCUGUGUCCCAAACAAGGAGAAGGGAGAGUUCAAAGGAUCAAAGUAAUUUCUUAUGUGGCUCUGCAUUUUAUUGGACCCGAAGGCCUCCUCAGAGGGUUCAACCUGGAGUCUUGGACUUGGGUCCCACAGUCCCUAGCACCUAGCAGGGGCACUGAAUAGUGAUGGAAUCCCUCGCCCUUACAAGUUCAGCCCAAUACCAAAGUCUCGAAAGCUCUGCAGAAAGAAGAGAAACUGAAUACUGCCCCUUGCCUUCAGUAGGUCAUACCCAGCGUCACCAUGAGCCACAACAGUCCUCCUGAGGCCAACACUUUUUGCUCCUUUCCCAUGCACCAAAAAAGUCCCAUUGUCUUCAUCACACAAGUGACAGCCUGGCCUGGGGAUUUAUGAGCAUGAUGUCUCUGUGGCUGGGCUGUGAGCACCUGCACCCUGGGUUCCGGAGAGCCUCGUGCAAGGGCUGAUCUCAUCUUAAACAGCAAAAUAUGUCUUGGAAUCACCUCUUCAGAGCAGGUAAAAAUCCUGACCAGGUAGGCAGAGACUGUUUGACAGUCCUGGGGAAUAUGAAUGCAAGAGAACGAGAAGUGAAGCACACUGUUUGUUCAGCAAAACUGAAAAAACAUUUGGAAAUAGCAAAGUGGAAAAAAGGAAGGACUCAGUCGUAAAGAGAUACGGAUCCAGAGAACAGACUGGUGGUUUCCAGAGAUGAGAGGUUAGGGGAGAGUGGGCAAAAGGGGUUGAAGAGUUAGAAAUUUCCAGUUAUAAAACAAGUCCUGGGGAUAUGAUGCACAGCAUGGGGUCUACAGUUCAUAAUACUCUACUGUAUACUGGAAAAUUGCUAAGAGAGUAAAUCUUGAAAGUUCUCAUCAUAAACAAAAAAAAAAUUGUAACUGUGUGUGCUGAUGGAUGUCAGCUAUACUUAUUGUGGGGAUCAUUUUGCAGUGCAUGUAAACACUGAAUCACUAUGUUGUACACCUGACACACGAUGUUUUAUGCUAGUUAUAUCUUCAUUCAAAAAUAGUAAUGAGAGCACACCUUGCCCAUCGUCUGUUUACUUUAACCAGGCUUCUCAGUAGAAAUGCCCUCUACAUUAUGACCCAGCCCACAAUAAUGACGAAUCACCUACCUACCUACCUACUGAGACAAGAGUUUCAUAAAACAAUACUUUCCUUACCAUGUGCAAUGCACUCUGGUGUCUUCCAAUAUAUUCUUUUUCUUUUUAAAAAAUGCUGGUGAGGGGCACCUGGGUGGCUCAGUGGGCUAAGCA